GAUGUCGGGAGCGGGUGAUGGCGACGCGGAGCUGCGCGCGUUGUUCCCGGCGCCGCCGCGCGGGCCGCUGGCCGCCUUCCGCGAGCAGGCCUCCUUCGACUGGCGCCGCAUGAAGCUCGCCUACGACUCCAUACAGGCUAUACGAGCUAAGGACAAAAUAUGGAAGUUCAUGGAGGAGCACCCGUUGUUCAAGCACUCGGAGGCGACCCCGUCGCUGGACGAGCAGAGACACCUCGCCACCAAGCGCAUGUAUGUCAUCCACAAUGCGGACCUUGUGCCCUUGGAGGAGAUAGCCAUGCACCCGCGGCUGUUCCAGUCGUUCACGGAGGCCAUCUUCAUGUGGGACAGCUCGCUCGCCAUCAAGCUGUCGCUCACCUUCCGCAUGUUCUCCAACACCAUCCGCGGCAGCGGCCGGGACCACCACUUCCCACUCAUUGAGGCGUGCGACGAGGGCAAGAUCGGCGGGUGCUUCGCGCUGACGGAGAUCGCGCACGGCUCCAACGCCAAGGGCAUGCGCACCACGGCCACCUACCUGCCCGACGAGCAGUGCUUCGAGCUGCACUCGCCCGACUUCGAGGCCGCCAAGUGCUGGGUGGGCUCGCUGGGCAAGUGCGCGACGCACGCCAUCGUGUACGCGAUGCUGGUGUCGAAGGGGCAGAGCCACGGGCUGCACGCCUUCGUGGUGCCGGUCCGCGACCCGCGCACGCUGCGCCCGCUCGCCGGCGUCACCCUCGGCGACCUCGGCGAGAAGGUCGGCCUCAACGGCGUCGACAACGGGUUCGUGAUGUUCAACAAGUACAAGCUGCCGCGCUCGGCGGCGCUGGACCGGCUGGGCGGCGUGGACGCGCGCGGCGACUACCGCUCGCCCUUCCGCGACCCCGCCAAGCGCUUCGGCGCCUCGCUCGGGAUACUCUCAGGCGGGCGCGUGCACAUAACGUCGAUCUCGACGAACUACCUGCAGAAGGCGGUGGUGAUCGCGGUGCGCUACUCGGCCGCGCGCCGCCAGUUCGCCGCGCCCGGCGCCGCCGCCGAGACGCCCGUGCUGCUCUACCAGCAGCAGCAAGUGCGGCUGCUGCCGUACCUGGCGGCCACCUUCGCCAUGCGCGUCUUCUGCAACUGGUUCGGGGAGGAGCACGUGCGCAUGUCCAUCGACAAUAUGAUGGGGUCCUCGGACGCGGAGCUGGCGGCGCGCGGCGUGGAGCUGCACGCGCUGUCGUCGGCCGCCAAGCCGCUGAGCGGCUGGACGGCGCGCGACGGCAUCCAGAACUGCCGCGAGUGCUGCGGCGGACACGGCUACCUUAAAGCGGCCGGCAUCGGCGAGCUGCGCAACGACAACGACGCGAACUGCACGUACGAGGGCGAGAACAGCAUGCUGCUGCAGCAGGCCAGCAACUGGCUGCUCGGCGUGUGGGCGCGCCGCCACCAGCCCGCCUUCGCCGACACGCCGCUCGGCUCCGUGCACUUCCUCGCGCGAGCGACGUCGCUGCUCGCGGAGACGUGCGCCGCCGACACCAAGGAGGACAUCGUGCAACCUGCCACCGUGGUGCGCGCGUACGAGUGGCUGACGACGUACAUGCUGCGGCUGACGGCCGACAAGGUGUCGCGCCUGCGGAGCGAGGGCCGCAGCGACUACGACGUGCGGAACGACUCGCAGGCCUACACCGCCGUCACGCUGGCCGUCGUCUACGGGGAGCACUUCAUGUUGAGCCACUUGUACAAGACGGCGCUGGCGCUCCCGGACGCGGCGUGCCGCGGCGUGCUGCUGCGGCUGGCGGCGCUGUACGGCGCCUUCAUGCUCGAGCGCCACAUGGCCACGCUCUACAUUGGCGGGUUCUUCUCCGGUGAGCAAGGGCUGCUGCUGCGCGAGGGCAUCGUGUGGCUGUGCGCGGCGCUGGCGGCCGAGGCGGUGUCGCUGGCGGACACGCUGGCGCCCCCCGACUGGUGUCUCAACUCCGUGCUCGGCUACGCUGACGGCGAGGUGUACAAGCACAUCCAGGACGGCAUCCUCACGUACCCCGGCGCGCUGGAGCGCCCGCGCUGGUGGCGCGACGUCGUGCACUGGGACACCUACGUGCCCGCCAAGCUGUAGGCACACACACACACACACACACGCACUCUACACAGCUGAUCGACUAUACUCAGGCGUUUCAGAUUCAGACUCUUCACUAUCACAAUUAAUAGUUAUUUGUUAUACAAGGGGGCAAAGUUGUAUUUUAACGCCGAGUGU
rnacentral:misc_RNA from 1 species